rnacentral:rRNA from 1 species
CAAGGUUGACCUCGGAUCAGGUAGGACUACCCGCUGAACUUAAGCAUAUCAAUAAGCGGAGGAAAAGAAACCAACAGGGAUUGCCCCAGUAACGGCGAGUGAAGCGGCAACAGCUCAAAUUUGAAAUCUGGCCUUCGGGUCCGAGUUGUAAUUUGGAGAGGAUGCUUCUGGCGCGGCGCCGUCCGAGUUCCUUGGAACAGGACGCCAUAGAGGGUGAGAGCCCCGUACGGGCGGACGCCUAGCCUCUGUGAAGCUCCUUCGACGAGUCGAGUAGUUUGGGAAUGCUGCUCAAAAUGGGAGGUAAAUUUCUUCUAAAGCUAAAUACCGGCCAGAGACCGAUAGCGCACAAGUAGAGUGAUCGAAAGAUGAAAAGCACUUUGAAAAGAGGGUUAAAAAGUACGUGAAAUUGUUGAAAGGGAAGCGCCUGUGACCAGACUUGCUGCCCGCGGAUCAUCCGGCGUUCCUCGCCGGUGCACUCCGCGGGCGGCAGGCCAGCAUCGGUUUUCCUGGGGGGUCAAAGGUCGCGGGAACGUGGCUCCUUCGGGAGUGUUAUAGCCCGCGGCGUCAUGCCUCUGGGGGGACCGAGGACCGCGCUU